GCUCAGAUAGCUCAACAACUAGAGCGUAGCACUGAAGAUGCUAAGGUGGCGGAUUUCGCCUCAGAGCA
rnacentral:tRNA from 1 species